UACGGAGGGUGCAAGCGUUAAUCGGAAUUACCGGUGGCGUAAAGCGUGCGCAGGCGGUUUGUUAAGUCCGUUGUGAAAGCCCCGAGCUCAACUUGGGAAUUGCAGUGGAUACUGGCAGGCUGGAGUACGGUAGAGGAAGGUGGAAUUCCCGGUGUAGCAGUGAAAUGCGUAGAUAUCGGGAGGAACACCAGUGGCGAAGGCGGCCUUCUGGACCAGUACUGACGCUCAUGCACGAAAGCGUGGGGAGCAAACAGG
rnacentral:rRNA from 1 species